UUCAGACCAUUGAGCGGUAGGCCUUGAUUGGUGGGCCUAUGUUUGAAUUAAGAACUGUAAUAAUAAAAAGUGCUCUUGCCGAGGCUGCUAGGUGUACAGGCACCUGGCAUGUCAUGACAAUAAAGCUUGAAUCUGAUGGAUGGUGUGGCCUCUGCUCAUUAAAUGAACUGGAGAUUUCUCUGUCAUCGAAUGAUCGCAAAUAAUUGAAUGUUACACUCGCACUGACAUAGUACUCUCAACACAAGAGGGCUGCAAACAGCGACCUCCAUGAGAUUCCCAAGUGGUCACCCACCAAGCAACUACUCAGACUUUACUUCAGCAAAGUGGCUUCAAACUGAGUUGGUUCAUUUCAGCAAGGAGGCUGUACCAUGUGCCCUCAGACCCAGUUCCUAGGACCCAGGUGAAUCAAAAUGUUGGCUGUGUAGUAAGCAUCACUGUGGAUACACAACUGGAUUCUAUUGCAAACUAUUUAAAGCACUGACUGUUCCUCCCCAGAGACCUCAGGGUUGUAAUGCUGUAAAGAUGUGUGUUUGUUGUUAAGCUUCCAAGCAAUGUUUAUAAAAAUCUGUCACUAACUGUCCAUGACAAUUUGUGGAAAUAGUCCAUAUAACCUAUUCUUUGGCUCCAUUCUGCCUUCACUGAAGGAUAUUUGCUGGAAGCCUGUUUGCUGGACACCUGCACAAAUUCUACCAUACCACUGUGUAUCCCCAGAAAUAACAGCACAAACCAAUAGACAAUUAACAAAAUUCAAAGUUCGGGUUUUGGAAGCUCUGGCCUCCAUCAAAGGUGUGGUUUCAAAAUUAUAUGAGCUGAUCAUAAACCACACAUUUAUCUCACUAGCAGUCCUUAAAGUGACUUGGGGAAAUGACUUACUUCCAACAGGAAAUCAAAGACCAGGAAUGUUUGUACAUGGAAAUACAAGCCCGUUACUUUCUCCUUGGCCCUUUCUUAAAGGGAACUUUCUUAAAGUUUUCCAUUGAUGGUACCUGGACCCCAGUAAAAUUAGCACACAUUCAUAAAGAUUGUUCUUCACUUUGCUGGAGUGGUUGUGGGAUGAAGGGUACCUAUUUUCAUCUUUGGUGGCCCUGCCCCAGGGUCUUACACUUUUGGACAGAGGUAUUCACAGAGAUGAGUAAGAUAACAAAUCAGAAAAUAGGAUUAUGCCCCCAGCUGGCAUUAGUAAAUAUAUUUUCUGGGGUCAAUACAGGUGUGUCAAAAAAAAAGAAGAAGUAGUGUUUAUAGUAACCGCUGUCAGGUUAGCUAUAGCCAAGCACUGGAAAGAUCAAAACAUGUCGAUGGAUAUUUGGUACAAGAACUUAUGGCAUACAGUGAUCUUAGAAAAGUUAACCUAUAUUAUUCGGUCCCAUGCAAACCAGAUCACAAAUAACUCUUUUUAUGUAAUUUGGUCAGAGUUCAUUCUUUAUACCAAUUGGGAGAAUUAUGGUUGUUUUCUUACCCCAGACUUCAUUAGCAUGUGGAUGGAUUGAUGAAUCGGGGUUUGUUGUGUGAUGUUUUGCUGUUUGUAUUUGGAUCAGUUUUGUU